GGCAUGGUGGUUUAGUGGUUAGUAUGUUUGCCUCACACCUCUAGGGUUGGGGCUCAAUUCCCGCCUAUGCUC